GGCGGUGUAGCUCAGCUGGCUAGAGCGUACGGUUCAUACCCGUAAGGUCGGGGGUUCGAUCCCCUCCACCGCCAC
rnacentral:tRNA from 1 species